AGAGUUUGAUCAUGGCUCAGGAUGAACGCUGGCGGCGUGCCUAAUACAUGCAAGUCGAACGCUUUGUCUUUAACUGAUAUGACGAGCUUGCUCUGAUGUGAUUUUAUCUGACAAAGAGUGGCGAACGGGUGAGUAACACGUGGGUAACCUACCUCUUAGCAGGGGAUAACAUUUGGAAACAAGUGCUAAUACCGUAUAAUACCCACAACCGCAUGGUUGUUGGUUGAAAGAUGGUUCUGCUAUCACUAAGAGAUGGACCCGCGGUGCAUUAGCUAGUUGGUAAGGUAACGGCUUACCAAGGCAAUGAUGCAUAGCCGAGUUGAGAGACUGAUCGGCCACAAUGGGACUGAGACACGGCCCAUACUCCUACGGGAGGCAGCAGUAGGGAAUCUUCCACAAUGGGCGCAAGCCUGAUGGAGCAACGCCGCGUGUGUGAUGAAGGGUUUCGGCUCGUAAAACACUGUUAUAAGAGAAGAACGGCACUGAGAGUAACUGUUCAGUGUGUGACGGUAUCUUACCAGAAAGGAACGGCUAAAUACGUGCCAGCAGCCGCGGUAAUACGUAUGUUCCAAGCGUUAUCCGGAUUUAUUGGGCGUAAAGCGAGCGCAGACGGUUAUUUAAGUCUGAAGUGAAAGCCCUCAGCUCAACUGAGGAAUGGCUUUGGAAACUGGAUGACUUGAGUGCAGUAGAGGAAAGUGGAACUCCAUGUGUAGCGGUGAAAUGCGUAGAUAUAUGGAAGAACACCAGUGGCGAAGGCGGCUUUCUGGACUGUAACUGACGUUGAGGCUCGAAAGUGUGGGUAGCAAACAGGAUUAGAUACCCUGGUAGUCCACACCGUAAACGAUGAGUGCUAGAUGUUCGAGGGUUUCCGCCCUUGAGUGUCGCAGCUAACGCAUUAAGCACUCCGCCUGGGGA
rnacentral:rRNA from 1 species